rnacentral:rRNA from 1 species
UGGGGAAUUUUGGACAAUGGGGGAAACCCUGAUCCAGCCAUCCCGCGUGUGCGAUGAAGGCCUUCGGGUUGUAAAGCACUUUUGGCAGGAAAGAAACGUCAUGGGUUAAUACCCCGUGAAACUGACGGUACCUGCAGAAUAAGCACCGGCUAACUACGUGCUAGCAGCCGCGGUAAUACGUAGGGUGCAAGCGUUAAUCGGAAUUACUGGGCGUAAAGCGUGCGCAGGCGGUUCGGAAAGAAAGAUGUGAAAUCCCGGAGCUCAACUUUGGAACUGCAUUUUUAACUACCGGGCUAGAGUGUGUCAGAGGGAGGUGGAAUUCCGCGUGUAGCAGUGAAAUGCGUAGAUAUGCGGAGGAACACCGAUGGCGAAGGCAGCCUCCUGGGAUAACACUGACGCUCAUGCACGAAAGCGUGGGGAGCAAACAGG